GUGGGGAAUUUUUCGCAAUGGGCGCAAGCCUGACGAAGCAACGCCGCGUGGGGGAUGAAGGCCUUCGGGUCGUAAACCCCUGUCGACCGGGACGAAACCGGUCCGACCUAAUACGUCGGGCCGUUGACUGUACCGGUGGAGGAAGCCACGGCUAACUCUGUGCCAGCAGCCGCGGUAAUACAGAGGUGGCAAGCGUUGUUCGGAAUUACUGGGCGUAAAGGGCGCGUAGGCGGUUCGUUAAGUCCCGCGUGAAAUCCCCCGGCUCAACCGGGGAAUGGCGUGGGAAACUGGCGGGCUUGAGUUCGGGAGAGGGAAGCGGAAUUCCGGGUGUAGCGGUGAAAUGCGUAGAUAUCCGGAGGAACACCGGUGGCGAAGGCGGCUUCCUGGACCGACACUGACGCUGAGGCGCGAAAGCUAGGGGAGCAAACGGGAUUAGAUACCCCAGUAGUCC
rnacentral:rRNA from 1 species